CUAUUGCAAUCCGUGCACAAGGUCGUGGGGCAUCGACGCGCCGGCUUUGCGCAUCUAUUGCUUUUACCUGCGUGGUUCGCGCAACAGGUAUUCGCGAACUGUCGCAUCGUUGCAUGUGCAGUUUCGGUAAACGCUAUCGAUGGAUUACAACCAGUAAUCCAUGCCGGUCUCUGGCGUAUCCAGAUGUAUUUCGCGCAUCGCGUAUCGUUUUAUCGAACUUCUAUUCUCAAAAUUUGCAUUAUAUUUGGUUACAACUCAGUUGUAAUUACCGGGCUAGAACAACUGGAAACAUAUACUCAAGCAAGUAACUUUUAUCUGACCAUUGCGAUACUCAGCACAGAAAGUUUGUUCUCCAUUAACUUGCCGUACCAUCGCAAUCCGAUGAGCGCUGCAUUAUAUUCGCUGUACCAUGGAGUCCGAUGAGUUCUGCAUUAACAUUUACAUAAACGUUAUCGCUACCCUUCUACGGUGCCUUGAAUGGGAGUCCAUUCCUACCGCAAUCUUCGUGCGUUGCUCUAAAGGGGAGUCUUUAUGGAUCCUUUGUUGGAUGAAGCAUUGGCAAUCCUGAGAUGGCCUAGUUUAUCAAUAGGGACCAACUGGAGAGGUUCCGUGCUACAGGUAGAGUGCGUUUUGAGGAUGAAGUUUUGAUUAUUGAAGAUGGAUGUGUCAAUUAGACUAAAAUACCCAGAACUCCGAGAAAUUGAAGAUUGGAUUGCCGGUGUUUCGAAGCUGUUAUUGAUUUAAUUUUUGUUUAUUUUGUUAAAAGUUAUAUAAAGAGCAUUAUAUAAUUGUGUAAUAUUAUCCUGUUUUCAUGCUUCUAUUGUUAAAAAUGCUGUAUAUAUUAAGAAAUUGAGUUUGUGACUCUACAUGUUUGAAUAAAAUUGUUGUUUUAUAUUUUUAACUAUAAA